rnacentral:rRNA from 1 species
CAAUAAGCGGAGGAAAAGAACCACAGGGAUUGCCCUAGUAACGGCGAGUGAAGCGGCAACAGCUCAAAUUUGAAAUCUGGCUACAUUCCGUAGUCCGAGUUGUAAUUUGUAGAGGAUGCUUUUGGUGAGGUGCCUUCCGAGUUCCCUGGAACGGGACGCCAUAGAGGGUGAGAGCCCCGUACGGUUGGACACCAAACCUCUGUAUAGCUCCUUCAACGAGUCGAGUAGUUUGGGAAUGCUGCUCUAAAUGGGAGGUAUAUCUCUUCUAAAGCUAAAUAUAGGCUAGAGACCGAUAGCGCACAAGUAGAGUGAUCGAAAGAUGAAAAGCACUUUGAAAAGAGAGUUAAACAGCACGUGAAAUUGUUGAAAGGGAAGCGCCUAUGACCAGACUUGUUUCUGGCAGUUUCGUUAGCCCUCGGGCUGAUUUACUCUGUCCAGUACAGGCCAGCAUCAGUUUGCUGUCGGGGAGAAAGGCUCUGGGAACGUAGCUCCCCCCUUCUGGGGGGAGUGUUAUAGCCCUCUGCAUAAUACCCUUCGGCAGACUGAGGACCGCGCUUCGGCAAGGAUGCUGGCGUAAGG